UUGAAACAUUGUGCAAUAGAAAUAUAUGCAUUGUUAUAGUUGUGAAAUUCUAUAUUUUUAAAUGUAUAUUUGCCACAAUGAAUAGGUAUAGCAAGAGAACAAGAAAGGAGAGAUUACAUAAUGCCAGGUCCAAUUGAUCCACAACUUCUUCGUCUCCAGUCACAGCACCGUUCUGAAGCAAUUUGGAAUGGUAAACUUGAGCAUGAAGUGCUUACUUGCAGGAGGCAAGGGAACAUCUUACAUGCUAACAUUGAUAAUAGAAUAAUUCCCCAUCUAACAAAUUCUGGAUUUAUUGGAAUUGCUCAACUAGGAUUCUUCACUCUUGACUAGCACCUAAAUAGUGCCUUUGUAGAGCGAUGGUGACCAGAUACCCAUACAUUCAUGAUGCCAAAUGGUGAGUGUACAAUCACUCUACAAAAUGUAGGCAUUAUUUCUAGUUUGCCAGUUGAUGGUUCUCCAGUUACUGGGAGGUGAAGGGCCGACUGGCCAGCAGUUUGUGAGAUGCUUUUGGGCGUUAGACCACCCCGGCUAUGAUUAGAGGGCAUACACUAAAAUUAUCAUGGUUAGUUGAUGAGUUUAGAGAUAUUCCACAGUUUGUAGAUGACUUAACUGUUUUAUGCCAUGCACGAGCCUAUAUAUUACGACUCAUCGGUUCCAUUUUUCCUAAUAAAACAAACUCACGUGUGAACUUGAUGUUCCUUCUGCUUUUAGAAGACUUGAGGGAAGCUGCAACAUAUAGUUAGGGGGAGAGCAUGCUUAGCCUUUCUUUACCAGGAAUUAUGUCGUGCUGCAGUCAUUGAAACAAAGGAGAUUUCAGGGCCACUAUUCCUGUUGCAGAUCUGGGCUUGGGAGAGAUUUAAAAUAAUAUCUCCAUCAUUAAGAGAUCCAUCAACACCUGAUGAUGCACUACUAGGUGCUAGGUGGAGUCGGGUUGGACAAAUUACUGAAGUGACAACCCAUUUACUACCACAAAUCCAGUGCAACCUUGACCGGAUGCGCCCUCAAGAUAUUACAUGGGAACCAUAUACCAAUGAAUUGUUAGAUGAGCUUCCAGACAUUUGUGUUUAAGGCUAUCCCAUCUGGAAGGCAGUGGUGCCAUUAGUUUGCUUUCAUAUUGUUGAAUAGCACUAGUCUGAUAGGGUGCUUCACCAGUUUGGAUUGGUUCAACCUAUUCCACGGCCACCGAUGCAAACAAACGAGUUGCACAAGAUUACUCUCUGAUUGAGUGAGAGUAAUUGGGAGCACCACUAUGCCACCUACAUUAAUCGCUAGAAUAGGCGACAACAAUUUAUUAUUAAGGGGGCAACAAAUGGUACAACCACUCCACCAUCAUUUUGAGCAUAUGGAGUGGUACUGUUGAGUUGCUAGACGUUGGAUCUCAAUCAGUGGAGUUGCUAUUGGUUCUGCGAUAAUAUUUUCAAACACAUGUUACUAUUAUUCAUUAAAUAAUUUUGUGCAAUAAAAUUUUAUUUAUUAUAUAUAUGUUUUUUUUUUAACAGGAGGAUGAAAUUGAGGAUUGUUUGCUAAAAUUAUAGAACUCAUUAACUAAAAAAGUGGAGGAAGUUAGGCAUACACUGAGGAAUAUGAUGAAUGCUCUAGAGCAAAAAAGUUGCCUUUGUCAGAUGUCUCCUCCUCAGCCUGCACCUCAAGUAGCAACUUUCAUAGAUGAAUUAGAAGAGGAGCAACCAGUUGAGCAGCCUGAGCCCUCACAUAGACGACGUCGAUCACGUUCAGCUCGACGUCGACAAUAGCCAGUUCAUCCACAAUUGGCACCUCGUGAUGUUUUGCCCCCACCUUUUGCAUUCCACCCUUAUUGCCUUGAUCCUUCUGAUCCAGUUCCCAUGCCACCUGCACCAUCUGAUCCUGGUCCGUCCACCAUUUUCUAACCAUAUUCAGAAAGUAUCCCAACACAAUACAAUGGUUGGGUGUCUGGCCCAUCAGUCCCUAGCCCAACAGCUACAUGGAUGCCAUACCAAUCUCACAUGCACAGUAAAACCAUAUUUGACUUCAUUGAGAGUCAACAGCCGCAAACACCACCUAGCGGCUUAUUUGCUCUUUUUGGCAGACCAUCUAGUAUUGGCCCAUCAUAUUAUAUUUUCCCUCCAUUUGGUGCAUAUGGUUCAGAACAAUACUUUGCACCAUAUCACUCUGGUACCUUAGGCCAUAUUCCUUCUAGUGCGGGAUUACUUGGAAAUUAUGAACAAAGUGGUUUGCAUUCUACUGCAGGGGGGGAAUCAUCAAGACGAGAAUAAGGAGAACCUAACCAACCCCAACAUGCACAAGGUGAUCCACCAGAUCAGGAAGAAGGGGGACAACAUCGAGUUCUUUGACCGAGUGACAUAUAAGGAGACUUGGCUGUGGAACAUGACUUAUUUUUAUACUUGUCUUAUUUAAUAUAUUAAAUAUGUUGCUACUUUUAUUUUUGUUUUAUUAUAUUAC